UUUAACCUGAUUCUUCGGAUGAAGGUUUUUGUGACUGAGUGGCGGACGGGUGAGUAACGCGUGGGUAACCUGCCUCAUACAGGGGGAUAACAGUUAGAAAUGACUGCUAAUACCGCAUAAGACCACGGAGUCGCAUGGCUCAGUGGGAAAAACUCCGGUGGUAUGAGAUGGACCCGCGUCUGAUUAGGUAGUUGGUGGGGUAACGGCCUACCAAGCCAACGAUCAGUAGCCGACCUGAGAGGGUGACCGGCCACAUUGGGACUGAGACACGGCCCAAACUCCUACGGGAGGCAGCAGUGGGGAAUAUUGCACAAUGGGGGAAACCCUGAUGCAGCGACGCCGCGUGAGCGAAGAAGUAUUUCGGUAUGUAAAGCUCUAUCAGCAGGGAAGAAAAUGACGGUACCUGACUAAGAAGCACCGGCUAAAUACGUGCCAGCAGCCGCGGUAAUACGUAUGGUGCAAGCGUUAUCCGGAUUUACUGGGUGUAAAGGGAGCGUAGACGGCUGUGUAAGUCUGAAGUGAAAGCCCGGGGCUCAACCCCGGGACUGCUUUGGAAACUAUGCAGCUAGAGUGUCGGAGAGGUAAGUGGAAUUCCCAGUGUAGCGGUGAAAUGCGUAGAUAUUGGGAGGAACACCAGUGGCGAAGGCGGCUUACUGGACGAUGACUGACGUUGAGGCUCGAAAGCGUGGGG
rnacentral:rRNA from 1 species